GGGGGCCUGGUGACCCGGCUGGAGCAGCAGUCCUCGGAAGGAGGGGCCUGUGCGCCCCGCGGGGGAAGAGGAAGCGCCUGCGGUUGUGGGCGACGCAGGCAGGUCUGGCGGUGCCCCGGAGGCCGAAGAAGGGGCUGCUCACUCUCCAGCCCCCGAGGCUGCAAGAAGGUCUCCCGUGCUGUAUGGGAGGCUUGGCUGCUUCACGGCGGGAGCUGCCAGCGGGGCAUCGGCCUGCAGUGCGCCGCCAGCCCCUGCGAAGGCGGCGUGCGGAGGGCGUGCGACGGGCAGGGAAAUCCGCACCAACGGGCCACCAUCUCCCUGGGCGCGGAGCGGCUGAACUUUCGGAGCUGUUGGCCCAGCUGGUCUUUUCUGGACGUGCCCCACGCUGCCCGCUUCGUGGACGCUUUAGGCCCAACGACUGUGGCGAGGGUUGCUGCCCUGGCUGGUCCCUUGCGCCCAAGACUGGGAAGUGCACAAAAGCCGUCUGCACGCCCCGCUGUCGCAACGGAGGCCACUGUACGGUUCCCCAGCAGUGCGCCUGCCGCCUAGGCUUCGGCGGUCCCCGCUGUGAGCAUGCCAUCCCCACCAGUACCACGCCGGCUCCACGGCGCCCCCAAGUGGCCCUGCGCUCUGUGGCAGUCCGCUGGCAGCCUAUGACGUGAGUUGUUGGGGGGACGCCUGGACUCAUGCUGUCUGCUCACACCCUGCAAAGAGCCCCAGGGCACCUGGCCAAGGGUGGGGGUGUGCAAAGCGUACUGGGAGGCUUCCAGCGUAGAAGCCUCGGCCAAGAGGAGGGAAGCGGAAUCCGCCACAGCCAGCAUCAGUCUGCAGCUCAGUGAGGUGUGGAUGCCUGAGCAGCUGAAACUUGAACAAGGAAGCAGUGGGCUCAGGAAAGGUGCUGAGGUCACAGAGA
rnacentral:lncRNA from 1 species